GAUGAACGCUGGCGGCGUGCCUAAUACAUGCAAGUCGAGCGAACGGACGAGAAGCUUGCUUCUCUGAUGUUAGCGGCGGACGGGUGAGUAACACGUGGAUAACCUACCUAUAAGACUGGGAUAACUUCGGGAAACCGGAGCUAAUACCGGAUAAUAUUUUGAACCGCAUGGUUCAAAAGUGAAAGACGGUCUUGCUGUCACUUAUAGAUGGAUCCGCGCUGCAUUAGCUAGUUGGUAAGGUAACGGCUUACCAAGGCAACGAUGCAUAGCCGACCUGAGAGGGUGAUCGGCCACACUGGAACUGAGACACGGUCCAGACUCCUACGGGAGGCAGCAGUAGGGAAUCUUCCGCAAUGGGCGAAAGCCUGACGGAGCAACGCCGCGUGAGUGAUGAAGGUCUUCGGAUCGUAAAACUCUGUUAUUAGGGAAGAACAUAUGUGUAAGUAACUGUGCACAUCUUGACGGUACCUAAUCAGAAAGCCACGGCUAACUACGUGCCAGCAGCCGCGGUAAUACGUAGGUGGCAAGCGUUAUCCGGAAUUAUUGGGCGUAAAGCGCGCGUAGGCGGUUUUUUAAGUCUGAUGUGAAAGCCCACGGCUCAACCGUGGAGGGUCAUUGGAAACUGGAAAACUUGAGUGCAGAAGAGGAAAGUGGAAUUCCAUGUGUAGCGGUGAAAUGCGCAGAGAUAUGGAGGAACACCAGUGGCGAAGGCGACUUUCUGGUCUGUAACUGACGCUGAUGUGCGAAAGCGUGGGGAUCAAACAGGAUUAGAUACCCUGGUAGUCCACGCCGUAAACGAUGAGUGCUAAGUGUUAGGGGGUUUCCGCCCCUUAGUGCUGCAGCUAACGCAUUAAGCACUCCGCCUGGGGAGUACGACCGCAAGGUUGAAACUCAAAGGAAUUGACGGGGACCCGCACAAGCGGUGGAGCAUGUGGUUUAAUUCGAAGCAACGCGAAGAACCUUACCAAAUCUUGACAUCCUUUGACAACUCUAGAGAUAGAGCCUUCCCCUUCGGGGGACAAAGUGACAGGUGGUGCAUGGUUGUCGUCAGCUCGUGUCGUGAGAUGUUGGGUUAAGUCCCGCAACGAGCGCAACCCUUAAGCUUAGUUGCCAUCAUUAAGUUGGGCACUCUAAGUUGACUGCCGGUGACAAACCGGAGGAAGGUGGGGAUGACGUCAAAUCAUCAUGCCCCUUAUGAUUUGGGCUACACACGUGCUACAAUGGACAAUACAAAGGGCAGCGAAACCGCGAGGUCAGGCAAAUCCCAUAAAGUUGUUCUCAGUUCGGAUUGUAGUCUGCAACUCGACUACAUGAAGCUGGAAUCGCUAGUAAUCGUAGAUCAGCAUGCUACGGUGAAUACGUUCCCGGGUCU
rnacentral:rRNA from 1 species